UACGGAGGGUGCAAGCGUUGUUCGGAAUCACUGGGCGUAAAGGGCGUGUAGGCGGUCUAUCAAGUCUGGUGUGAAAUCCCCUCGCUCAACGAGGGAACUGCGCCGGAAACUGACAGACUAGAGUACCGGAGAGGAAGGUGGAAUUCCCGGUGUAGCGGUGAAAUGCGUAGAGAUCCGGAGGAACACCAAUGGCGAAGGCAGGGUCCUGGCUGGCACCUGACGCUGAUGUGCGAAAGCCAGGGGAGCGAACGGG
rnacentral:rRNA from 1 species